rnacentral:sRNA from 1 species
UUUUAGACCUGAUUGAAAUGGAAAGCCCACAGCGCAGCGAGGACUUGUAAUGUAAAGCAGGACGAACA